AGAAAGGAUAAAAAGCCACGGUGAUGG
rnacentral:sRNA from 1 species